AUGGCAGAACAGCCAGGGAGUGUCAGUCAUCCUCCCAUCGUUGAGUCAACAAGCACCCAUCCAGUGCAUAGGAUUAGACUGGAUUCAGGUCCUUUCCUUGUCUAUUUGUGGUGGCCAUAUUUGGCAGAGGAUCAAAGGCCCAAAACAACCUGUUGAGUAAAUUGUUUUUAACAUCACACUCCUGGAUAAUGGCUCCACCAACAUGCAGUCAGCACCAAGCUGCUGGUGUUUGCAGGGGCUCCUUUAAGUAAAGCUGAAAUUCUGGGUUCAUUUACCUGGUAGUAAGCCUCACUGAAAACACUGGAAUUUCUGAGUAGGGAGUGGGGAGAAAUUCAAUUCAGUUUGCUUUGAAAGGUGAAGUUGCUUCAUUCACACUUUUCCCAGAACAAGAUGUGAACAGAAAUGCAGCCAUCAUUUGACAUUCACACUUAUCCAAAUUUUCCAGUGCAGUUCUCUAUCCAAAUACAGUGGUACCUCAGUUUAAGAAUGAUUUGGUUUACAAACUCUGCAAAACCGGAAAUAGUGUCUUGGUUUGAGAACUUUACCUCGGUCUAAGAACAGAAUCUGAACGGCGGAAGGGCACCGGCAGGAGGCCUCAAGGGAAAGCGCGCCUUAGUUUAAGAACGGUUUUGGUUUAAGAAUGGACUUCCAGAAUGGAUUAAGUUUGUAAACUGAGGUACCACUGUAAUGUGCACAAAAAUACUUAUGCUGGGGUAAAGUGUGCUUUACAGUUAGUGGAAAUAACACCCCAAUAUGUGUUGUGCUAGGCAAAAUUGCAAAAUUGCAUACUAAAAUGUGUAUGUUUUGGAGAAACUGACACUCAAUUGCUGGUGUGUGUGUGUGUUUUGAGGGGGGCUUUAUUUUUGCAAACUGUUGUGGAAAUGUGGACAGCUGAAUUUAAGACGGGGAAAGCAAUGAACUGAGAAAACUGACAUAUUCUCCCAUCCCUUCCUCUGAGCAAACAUGCUUUAGGAUUACACUGUAAGCCUUUGUAAUUCUAACACAUAUAGCAGGUCCUGUUUUCGAAACACCCUAUUUCACCAGCCUAUCCAUAAAAUGAAAUGUUUUGACGACUGAUCAUCUGGGGCCUGCAAUUAUGUGAGUGGCUGAUGUGAAAUCAUGAGGCUGUAAUGGACUGGGGAGGGGGGGAGGGAGAGAACUACCUAAUUUAGGCAAAGCAGCAAAGCAGGGGCUCCCUGACCCGACAAAAAACCCCCACAAAAUUCUGAAAGAAUUUGGCAUAUGAUAUUUCAAAGGGGGGAAAGCAUCAAAGUAGUCAUUGGGAAAGAUUUAUUACACCUACUUACACGGCACUAGAUUUUUCUGUUCUUUUUUUAUUACUUAUCCCACCUGUACCAGGGACCAUCCUGUCAACAUAGAUGGAAAUAAUGGAAAGAAAUCAGAUCCUAUCAAGCUUAGUAAUAAAUUGAUGUUUUAUUAUUAAAGAUUUAUUCUUAUGAGUUAUACAAACUUUGUUUCUUUCCCCUUUCUAAUCUAUAUAUGCAGAAAAACAGAAUACGCUGCGUAAGUUGUUUUGUUUAUUGUUUUUAUUAUGAAUUGCAUAUAGAGAGCGGGGAGAUGCCAUGAUCUUUUCAGCGCUUAGGGCUUCUAAAGGCAGCUUCCGGUGUUACAGUUUUGAUUAAACAAAAAACAAAACAAAACAAUGGGUAAAAUUAAUCACACCAGAAGGAUGGAGAUUGGGCAGUUAAGCAAAAGGCUCCAUAGGUCAGGUGAGUCUGAGGAAUUAUUUGAUUAGGCAGGUGGGAAAGGGGUGGCACCAUCAAGGUCUUCUGCAAGAUAAUUCCAAAUUGGCAAGACAGGGCUGGUGGGAUUGCUUGAGGACGGAAGAAACCUCUGGACUGUGGAACCUGGUGAAGUCUAAGGAGCAAAGGUAAGACUCUAGAGACCAGUGAAGAUAUUGGAAGUGGGGGAGCUAACAGCAGCAUGGCUGAGGACUGAGUGGCUCCAAGUAAGGCUGAAGACUUUGUGCUGGAUACAGGAACAGGCAGGAAGCCAAUGCAGGGUUUGAUUUGAGGAGGCGGGGUUUUCUACAAAGCUGCUCAGGCACAACCUUGAUUGGGUCAGCAAAGAGGAGCACCUGUUUUUGAAAAACUGAAAGUGGGGUUUUCUACAAAGCUGCUCAGGUUCAUUUCCUCAUUUGCAUCCUGAAUUAGAAGAACCAUCUCCUGAAGUGGUCCAGUUUGUGGAAAUAUUGUAGCCAAAGAAGUUUUCUUUAGGAGUCAGGCAAUUGGGUAAGUGAUAUUGCAACUCUCUUAAGCUAUUAAUAUUACUUAUAGGUUUCCUAAACACAUUUACUUGGAAGUGAGGACCUCUGACUUCAAUGAGGGUUUCUCCCCUGUAAAUGUGCUGCUGUCUUAGCUAUUGACCUUAACCUCUUUAAUGGGCCUUUUGUUAAAGGAAACAAGAUAGGAUUUGCUAGUUACUGAGACACAAAGGGGGAAGGGAGAUUUGUUUGGCUUAGUUUCACCUUUUCAGAUUAUAUUUCUUUUUGAGAGUUCUUGAUUAUAGCAAAUAAAGACACGCCCAUACCCUGACAACUAAUUAUCUUACUAAAUUGCAAAGGUUGCAGUCUUACCUGCAGUUGGGCGUAAGCCCCCAUGAGCUGUGUUGUAAGACUGUAAAUUAAAUGGAGGCAUGGGGUGUGAGAAGCCUCGAAAAUAUGAGAAAAUAAGGCAAUAUACACCUUUUUUGGCACCAGUAUAAAUGGGUUAUUGUCUGCAAUGUUGGGUUUUGUAUGCCAGUCUAAACAGGGGGUGGUGUUCAGUGCUUGUCCUGCUCAGAGGAGAAUCAUUGAAGUUAAUAGACAUGCCUCACUUCAUUCAUGAAUUUCAGUGGGCCUUCUCCAAGUAGGACUUAGUUGAGUACAAUGCAAGAAGCAGAUUUCUAGGUCUGUGGUUGUGAGAGAGAAAAGCAUGGCAAAUAUGACCAAGUAUAUUCAUCCCAAGCAAUGUGGUUCAAUACCAAGGGAAGAGUCAUGAGACUUGUUCAGCAGCAGAUACUGUGGGGUGUCUAGAAGAAAAAGACUCUUGUUUUAGAGGGCUUGCUUUGCAUGCAGAAGGUCCCAGAUUCAGCUCCCAGCAUCUCCAAGCAGGGCUGGGAGAGGCUCCCUGCCUGAAACUGUGCAGAGCUGCUUCCAUUAGGAGCUCUAUUCUGCCAUAUACUAUGUCAAGUCAUUCCUAGAUGCGCCAAAUUGCCUGACUCUGUAUAUGGCAGCAUCUUGUGGGCAUGCUCAUUGAAGUGGAUCUUCCUUUCUGC
rnacentral:lncRNA from 1 species